CUUCAAGAUCUGAGACUCUCACACA
rnacentral:piRNA from 1 species